UACGUAGGGGCCGAGCGUUGUCCGGAGUUACUGGGCGUAAAGCGCGUGUAGGCGGCCGAUUAAGUCUGGUGUGAAAGCCCGGGGCUCACCCCCGGAAGUGCGCUGGAAACUGGUCGGCUAGAGUAUGGGAGAGGAAAGUGGAAUUCCCGGUGUAGCGGUGAAAUGCGCAGAUAUCAGGAGGAACACCAACUGGCGAAGGCAGCUCGCUGGG
rnacentral:rRNA from 1 species